CUGCGAGCCAGACGAACAUGAGUGCUUACCUGUUUUGGACGGCAGUUGACUGUCUUCUCUCUGCACUUGAGUGAUGAUAGAACUUUCCAUCUAACAAAUGCACAGCCUCUCAAAAUCCAAUCCGUUCCCCCCAGACGCAGAGACUUUCGAGGGCGCCUUGAAACUGCUCGUCGUCGCGGAUUGGAUCCCUUGGAAGUGGGAGUACCGGAGGCAUUCUUCUCGGCUCUGCACGCUCCAUACUGAACACAUUCCAGCGCUCGCUUUGUUGCGGGUUUCACCGUCGCAUGAAGCUACAGCUAUCAAUAGCAAUUUAUGGAUGGAGGAUAACUGCAGUUGUUUAUAAGAAAGCUAAAUAACGCUAAUAAGACUACUGUAAAAAAUAUAGUGUCAAAAUAUACUGUUGUUCAGUUAUUUUCUUGGGAACAUGUAACUCGGCGUCUUAUUUAUAGAAUGUAUACGAUUCCAUUUAAAUUAUAUCCGAAACAAACGUUUACCAAUGAAACCUAUGCGCCAUGACGUAGUUGGAUUGUGCAUUGACAAAUCCCCAUUUUGUGUCUGGUGCUCGGAGGACAAAGGAAUAUAUUAGCUUGCUGUCGUUUUAGCUCUUAGCAUUUGGUAGCCUCGGUGUUAGGUGGCUUUGUAUUUUUAAAUACUGUACACAUAAAAAUGUGUAGUGAUUUUGUAUGUGAUCAUUUUCAAUAAUUUCCACGCAUUUAAAAUAUUUAAUUGAAUAUAAUCCCUUGCAUUUUUGCAUUCGCACAAUAAAAUAUUAAAAAGAAAA